rnacentral:lncRNA from 1 species
UACAGUAUGAUAUCUGGGCCGAGCGGUUAAAGAUAUAUCUUAUUCAAGAUAUAAAAUAAUCAAGAAUAUCUACUUAAAGAUAUUUAGUAACUAACCAGAUUUUCAGGUAAGUCUGUUUAUAUUAUAUUUUGUUUAUAUUUUAUUCUGUUUAUAUUUUAUUGGGCUUAUAUCAGUUCAAGGUCCAUGAGAUAAGUUAUAAAUAGAGAGUUAGUGCCACAAGCCAGGUAUCUUCGAAUCACCUUCGAAUCAACUUCCAAUCACACUUCAUUCACAUUCAACUCAUAUUCUCAAAUAGUGAAAACCCUUCACUAAAUAUUCAAUUAAGAACCGAGGUUCUUCCAUCACACGCCUGACUUGGGCGUCGGAGUGCCUUUUGCAGGUACCUCCCCCUCCGGUCAAAGCUUGAAGAUUACCGAACGGUCAAGGGUGAAGGAAAGCGAGCGNUCAAGAUCCAGGAAAAGCGAGCAAUCCGACCAGUCCAAGCGUCAGAAAGCGGGAAAGCCACGUCAUCAAGGUUAGUCCUUUCGAUCUCAAAAAUAACUACCGAAACAUUUUGGCGCCCACCGUGGGGCCGAGCGGCAAACUCAAAUGGUUACCACAAGGAAUAUGGACAACAACGACUCUAUGAAUAUGAUCAGAGAGUUGCAGGCUCAGUUAGAAGCACAAGCAAAGCGAAUGGAAGAACAAGCUCAAACCAUACGCCAACAACAAGAAGCACAACAAAAGCAAGCCGAAGAAAUCGCCAGACUCAAACAACAACG